rnacentral:tRNA from 3 species
GGGCUCAUAGCUCAGGCGGUUAGAGCGCACGCCUGAUAAGCGUGAGGUCGGUGGUUCGAGUCCACUUGAGCCCACCA